UACGUAGGGCGCGAGCGUUGUCCGGAAUUAUUGGGCGUAAAGAGCUCGUAGGCGGUCUGUUGCGUCGGCUGUGAAAACCCGGGGCUCAACCCCGGGCCUGCAGCCGAUACGGGCAGACUAGAGUUCGGCAGGGGAGACUGGAAUUCCUGGUGUAGCGGUGAAAUGCGCAGAUAUCAGGAGGAACACCGGUGGCGAAGGCGGGUCUCUGGGCCGAUACUGACGCUGAGGAGCGAAAGCGUGGGGAGCAAACAGG
rnacentral:rRNA from 1 species